CAGCAGCCAAGGGGGGAGGCACAGAAGGGAGAGGCCAGACUGCAGAAUUUUCUUUAAUUCCUGUUCCUCUCUGCUGCUUGCACUGGAUUGAGUUUUGUAUGCCAGGGGAAGGAUCCAGUCUAGAGUGAGAAGCUACAGUUCAGUCUGGUUCCUUGGAUAAUGGAGUUUGUAAAAGUGCCUCCUACUGGUGUUGUAAUGAAAGUUUGACACUUUAGACAAGAAAAAAGUGGUGGAGCAGAUGGAUGAAGAAGGCAUACUUCUCAAUGGCUGCAAAGGCAGACUAAGUAACCCCAGAUGUCUUGGAUCCCCUUGCCUUGACACCGGUUUCUUCUCUGCCGAGAUCCAUGCAGUUACCAAUGCGCAAAAGUUUCCUGACAUAAAACAAGUCAUGCACAGGCUUCUCCCACUGGAUCCAUCAUCUACCAUGAUAACCAAUCACCGAUAAAAGAAACAAGACUGAGAAACCUGCGCUCUGACCCUCCCUUUAACCACCACCUGUGGUGUUUGCCAAAGAGUUUGCAGCACAAGGAUUGGCCUUAACCAUCAACAGACUAAUUUACAACCCUUUACUUGACCCAUGAGGGUGACCAUCCUCAACUGUGAGGGAUUGCUGCUGACAGCAACUCAUUUCUGAGUAUUUGAUUUUGCAAUCUUCAUGUUCCUGUAGCAUGUUUUUUUGGUAAAAUAUAAAAUACAUAGAUGGGUGUAUGGUUUUUAUAUGCUUAAUAAAAAAUGCCCAGAACAGUUCCUAUGUAUCAUUUGCAGGGAAAUGUGUCUUUCUCAUGCUAUCAUUCAUUAUUUGUCCUACAUAAACUCAGGACAAUAUGUUUAAGGGUAAUGGGUCAUUUAGUUUCAUAUUAGACAGCACUUAAUAGCUAUGAAGAUGCAUUCUCUUUUAUUUAAUUAAGAUGAUGAAUUUUUAAUCCAUAUCCAUUCUCAUGUUUGCGAGUAUGUUGUAUGGAUUGCUGCUUCUUGAAAAA